GACAGAGGGUGCAAACGUUGCUCGGAAUCACUGGGCGUAAAGGGCGUGUAGGCGGGAAGGAAAGUCAGAUGUGAAAUCCCUGGGCUCAACCCAGGAACUGCAUUUGAAACUCCCUUUCUUGAGUACCGGAGAGGAAGGUGGAAUUCCUGGUGUAGAGGUGAAAUUCGUAGAUAUCAGGAGGAACACCAGUGGCGAAGGCGGCCUUCUGGGCGGUGACUGACGCUGAGACGCGAAAGCGUGGGGAGCAAACAGG
rnacentral:rRNA from 1 species